GCUGCCGGUGUCGAACACCACCGUGAACCGCUCCGACGGCGUGCCGAGCCCGAUGGUCACCACGUAGUUGCCCGCGCCCAGCGCUUGCCCGGACGAUGCCGGGAGGUUCGCCGACGUCGCGUAGGACGACGCCGACGACGCCGGAGUGGUAGCCGACGGCGCGCCGGGCCGGAGCUGGACCGGUGCCGCGCCGCGCUUCGGCCUCGCCCCGCCGGUGGUCUCGGACACGCGGCGGUGGAUGUACUCGACGCGGCGCUGGUCGGCGGCGAGGAUCUCCGAGUGGGACGGCGCCUUCCCGCGCUU
rnacentral:lncRNA from 1 species